GGGGGGGCUGUACUGGGUGCCAGAGAGAGGGACAUCUGUGAAGACUGUGAAGAAUGCGGACCAGAGAUUAUUUGUGAAAUGAAAGAACAGUCACAAAAAAGCCAUCAACCAACUUGAAAGGCUCAUCUGAGUUACUCCACAUAAAAUUGGAAGAGGCAUCGGUGGCCAUACACAUCUGAACAAGGGACUGAGUUCGUUAUUAUUUUAUUCCACCUUUCCUCCAACAAGCUCAAGGCCAAGAAAAUCUUCAUAAUGAUGAUUUCAUCUUCGUGUCAAGCCUGCAUAAUGAGAUUACACAGGAAGGUCCUGUUGCAGGU